AUCUACGGCCAUGCCACCCUGAACAAGCCUGAUCCCGUCUGAUCUCGGAAGCUAAGCAGGGUCAGGCCUGGUUAGUACUCAGAUGGAAGACCACAUAGGAAGACCAGGUGCUGUAGGCA
rnacentral:rRNA from 1 species